GAGACUGUCUUGAGCUCUAAAAAGAAAACUAAUGGUUUUAAGUUGAUGAGAUUAAUUGUUGAUGUUGGUGGAGAAGCUUUAAGAAUAACAUUGAGGAAACAACUGUCAGAAAGAGUUGGCUCUACUGACAGCAUUCCUGGUUU